UGUUAAGGAUGUCCACAACAAGGUCGAGGUAACAGUCAGAAACAGGACAGAGCAGGGGAACAGGCAGAGCAUGGAUGGAGUCAUCAACACAAUAGAGCCAAGAAAAUGAGAGUGACAGAACAAAUUAUCUGUUGUGAUUCUGCUCAUGCACUGCCUCUUCCCUGGCUCUAUCAGUAUUUCUCCUUUCUUUCAUAUUGAAUCCAAAACUUUUUUUCUCUUAAGUUUUAGCACAAAUUCACAACC
rnacentral:pre_miRNA from 1 species